rnacentral:tRNA from 1 species
UCUUCCGUGGCGCAAUUGGCUAGCGCGUUCGACUGUUAGACUUUAGGUCAAGCUAUCGAGAGGUUGACAGUUCAAGCCUGUCCGGGAGAG